AGUCCUACGGGGGGCAGCAGUGGGGGAUAUUGCACAAUGGGGGAAACCCUGAUGCAGUGACGCCGCGUAUAGGAAGAAGGUUUUCGGAUUGUAAACUAUUGUCGUUAGGGAAGAAAAAAGACAGUACCUAAGGAGGAAGCUCCGGCUAACUACGUGCCAGCAGCCGCGGUAAUACGUAGGGAGCAAGCGUUAUCCGGAAUUAUUGGGUGUAAAGGGUGCGUAGACGGGAGUCUAAGUUAGUUGUGAAAUCCCUCGGCUCAACUGAGGAACUGCAACUAAAACUGGACAUAUUGAGUGCAGGAGAG
rnacentral:rRNA from 1 species